rnacentral:rRNA from 1 species
CCUACGGGGGGCAGCAGUGAGGAAUAUUGGUCAAUGGACGAGAGCCUGAACCAGCCAAGUAGCGUGAAGGAUGACUGCCCUAUGGGUUGUAAACUUCUCUUAUAUGGGAAUAAAAUGCUCUACGUGUGGGAUUUUGUAUGUACCAUAUGAAUAAGGAUCGGCUAACUCCGUGCCAGCAGCCGCGGUAAUACGGAGUAUCCGAGCGUUAUCCGGAUUUAUUGGGUUUAAAGGGAGCGUAGGUGGAUUGUUAAGUCAGUUGUGAAAGUUUGCGGCUCAACCGUAAAAUUGCAGUUGAGACUGGCAGUCUUGAGUACAGUAGAGGUGGGCGGAAUUCGUGGUGUAGCGGUGAAAUGCUUAGAUAUCACGAAGAACUCCGAUUGCGAAGGCAGCUCACUGGACUGCAACUGACACUGAGGCUCGAAAGUGUGGGUAUCAAACAGGAUUAGAUACCCCUGUAGUC